UACGUAGGGACCAAGCGUUGUUCGGAUUUACUGGGCGUAAAGAGCGUGUAGGCGGCCGCACAGGUCCGUUGUGAAAACUGGAGGCUUAACCUUCAGACGUCGAUGGAAACCGUGCGGCUAGAGUCCGGAAGAGGAGAAUGGAAUUCCUGGUGUAGCGGUGAAAUGCGCAGAUAUCAGGAAGAACACCCGUGGCUAAGGCGGUUCUCUAGUACGGUACUGACGCUGAGACGCGAAAGCGUGGGGAGCGAACAGG
rnacentral:rRNA from 1 species